CCUACGGGUGGCAGCAGUGGGGAAUAUUGGACAAUGGGCGAAAGCCUGAUCCAGCCAUGCCGCGUGUGUGAAGAAGGCCUUCGGGUUGUAAAGCACUUUCAGUGGGGAAGAAAGCCUUGGGGCUAAUACCCUCGAGGAAGGACAUCACCCACAGAAGAAGCACCGGCUAACUCCGUGCCAGCAGCCGCGGUAAUACGGAGGGUGCGAGCGUUAAUCGGAAUUACUGGGCGUAAAGCGCGCGUAGGCGGUCUGAUAAGCCGGUUGUGAAAGCCCCGGGCUCAACCUGGGAACGGCAUCCGGAACUGGCAGGCUAGAGUGCAGGAGAGGAAGGUAGAAUUCCCGGUGUAGCGGUGAAAGGCGUAGAGAUCGGGAGGAAUACCAGUGGCGAAGGCGGCCUUCUGGACUGACACUGACGCUGAGGUGCGAAAGCGUGGGUAGCAAACAGGAUUAGAUACCCUGGUAGUC
rnacentral:rRNA from 1 species